GCCUCCUUCACAUCUUUUUACUCAUGUUUCAUCAUCAUCUUCUUUCGCCUCCUUCACCACCACCAUCUUCGUCUGACGAGGCAAAGAGAAUCAAUGAGGUAUCGACGAGUAAAUCAAACAGCGUAUACUAUCCAGGAUAUUCAGUUAUAAACAAGUUGGUGUUAGGGAGAACAGGAAGCUUCGCAAAAAAUAUCUGGAUACUAGGAGAGCAGCAAAGUGGUAUUUGUUUCCUGGCAAAGAAAUACCAUUAGAAUCCAGCUCUGAUGGUGAUAGUUCUGAUGACAACCCAAGUGAAGAUGAUAUACCCGAGAGUAUAGAUGUUGAGCAUUCUAUAGUCUCACUAACACUUGCAUCAAGUAUGUAUGGCUCUGACAAAACUUUUGCUUGGAUGGGGAUGGUGGUGAUAGUGAUGAUUUACCAACUACUAUUGUUUCAAAAUUUUUUUUUUACCAACUACUACUACUUCAAAUGAUGAGCCUGUGGAGAUCCAAAAAGAAGUUCGUAAUCGAAGAAGCCCCAAAGCACAGCUUGGCAUCCCAUAGCACAUCCUGCAACUGAAUAAGAAUCUUCUGGGAGCUGCAAAGAAGCAAAGUGCAUUGGGAGAUCAACUGAAUAUUUAUUGUUGAUCUCCAAGGCAUUGGUGAAAAAUCUUCUAGCUUCUUCCCGGAUUCACACAGUAAUUUAUCCACCAGGAUGUUCUUCGUUGUCCACAGUUUUCAAACUCCGAAAUGAAUCUGCACCUGCUACAACAGUCAGCAAUAAUCGAAGAUAGUACAAUUCUCAUGCGUUAGGGCUAUCAAAAUGGAUUCUCGCAAUGGCAAAGCCUUGUUGCCUGAUAUAUGUAAAGCUGGGAGUACACGGGAGCAACUCCUUCCUUUGGCAUCAGAGAUCCACUUGUUGAAGAAGAGAUUGCGGGAGCUUUCUACCAAUAGUUCCAGAUGGAGUGCGUGGUGGCCUGAAAUCAAGAGAGAUUAGAAAACGUACCAAUAACAUACAUGUCUACUAGACCAAACUGAAAUAUUGUAAAAUCUAAUGUCUGUAGCGGGAGUGGAGAAAACUAAUGAAAACCUGUUUUGUUAUCUCAACAUCAAUGAAACUCUGUAGCGGGAGUGGAGAAAACUAAUGAAAACCUGUUUUGUUAUCUCAA